AGGCGAAAAAAAAUCGAAUAAAAAUUAUUAAUUUAUUGCAGAAUAUCCGGAUUGGAAAGAAACUCGAGAUGAACUAGAAAACACACUGAUCAGAAGCAGUCUAAAAUUUGGAUUAGCUGUUAUAGAAAAAUUCAAAGAUGAUCUAAAAAUAAGCAUCGAAGACGCCAUCAAACAAAAUAUCAAAAAUCACGAUUUAGUCGACGCGUACACUUCAUUGGCACAAUAUGUAAACGAUAGAAACAACUAUAUGGCUACAAUCAUGCUCAGACAUUCAGAUGGUACUGAUCGUUGGGCUGUUUGGAUCAUGAUGAUAGCAAUAACUACUCACGAUGAUUGGCCCAAGAUCGACGAUGCUUUCAAAAAAAUCAACAAUGGCAUAUCACUGAAAGAUCAUAUUUUGAAAACCACCGAAGCUGACCGAAUACCUUUUGAAAUGAUGGCUGUAAUGAUAGAUCCAAAAUAUAAACCAUCCUACCUCAAAAGUCAAAAAUUAUAGCAUAAGUACCUACUCUAAGCAACAUUUUUUGCAAGAAAUAACGCAAACAAGCAAACAUCCGACUGCCAAGGUAUGAAAGUUGGAGUUGGCAAAAGUGACAAAAUUUCAUCAUUAAAAAAUCUCUUCGGUAUAGGUACAUAACACUAAGUAUCAGAAAUUUAUAAAUUUUAAAAAUGGUACAACCAUAACAUGAAAUGCUGUAAAUGUCAUAAUAAUUUUUCGAAAUGGAACAUUAAAAUAAUAAUCGAAUAACCAUUCCCAUAGAUUGUGUAAAAUAUGCAAUAACUCUUGUAUACUCAAUUUUAAUCGAAAUGCACCAGUUGCACAUUGAAAUUUUAUGUUUCUCAGUUUGGUAUCAGUAAUGUAAGGACACAAUCAUUCAAUGACUAAAAAUAAAUUAAAAACCCUAU